AUUGAACGCUGGCGGCAGGCCUAACACAUGCAAGUCGAGCGGAUGAAGGGAGCUUGCUCCUGGAUUCAGCGGCGGACGGGUGAGUAAUGCCUAGGAAUCUGCCUGGUAGUGGGGGAUAACGUCCGGAAACGGGCGCUAAUACCGCAUACGUCCUGAGGGAGAAAGUGGGGGAUCUUCGGACCUCACGCUAUCAGAUGAGCCUAGGUCGGAUUAGCUAGUUGGUGGGGUAAAGGCCUACCAAGGCGACGAUCCGUAACUGGUCUGAGAGGAUGAUCAGUCACACUGGAACUGAGACACGGUCCAGACUACUAAGGGAGGCAGCAGUGGGGAAUAUUGGACAGUGGGCGAAAGCCUGAUCCAGCCAUGCCGCGUGUGUGAAGAAGGUCUUCGGAUUGUAAAGCACUUUAAGUUGGGAGGAAGGGCAGUAAGUUAAUACCUUGCUGUUUUGACGUUACCAACAGAAUAAGCACCGGCUAACUUCGUG
rnacentral:rRNA from 1 species